ACACUCCUACGGAAGGCAGCAGUAGGGAAUCUUCCACAAUGGGUGCAAACCUGAUGGAGCAAUGCCGCGUGAGUGAAGAAGGUCUUCGGAUCGUAAAGCUCUGUUGUUAGAGAAGAACACGUGCUAGGUAACUACUAGCGCCUUGACGGUAUCUAACCAGAAAGUCACGGCUAACUACGUGCCAGCAGCCGCGGUAAUACGUAGGUGACAAGCGUUGUCCGGAUUUAUUGGGCGUAAAGGGAGCGCAGGCGGUCUGUUUAGUCUAAUGUGAAAGCCCACGGCUUAACCGUGGAACGGCAUUGGAAACUGACAGACUUGAAUGUAGAAGAGGAAAAUGUAAUUCCAAGUGUAGCGGUGGAAUGCGUAGAUAUUUGGAGGAACACCAGUGGCGAAGGCGAUUUUCUGGUCUAACAUUGACGCUGAGGCUCGAAAGCGUGGGGAGCGAACAGUAUUAGAAACCCCGGUAGUCCC
rnacentral:rRNA from 1 species